AUGAACGCUAGCGGCAGGCUUAACACAUGCAAGUCGAGGGGUAACAUUGAUGCUUGCAUCAGAUGACGACCGGCGCACGGGUGCGUAACGCGUAUACAAUCUGCCAUUAACUGGAGGAUACCCUUUAGAAAUGAAGAAUAACACUCCAUGGUAACAUAGACUCGCAUGAUUUUAUGUUUAAAUAUUUAUAGGUUAAUGAUGAGUAUGCGUCCUAUUAGCUAGAUGGUAAGGUAACGGCUUACCAUGGCAACGAUAGGUAGGGGCCCUGAGAGGGGGAUCCCCCACACUGGUACUGAGACACGGACCAGACUCCUACGGGAGGCAGCAGUGAGGAAUAUUGGGCAAUGGAGGCAACUCUGACCCAGCCAUGCCGCGUGCAGGAUGACUGCCCUAUGGGUUGUAAACUGCUUUUAUACAGGAAGAAACACUCCCUCGUGAGGGAGCUUGACGGUACUGUAAGAAUAAGGACCGGCUAACUCCGUGCCAGCAGCCGCGGUAAUACGGAGGGUCCGAGCGUUAUCCGGAAUCAUUGGGUUUAAAGGGUCCGCAGGCGGGAUUCUAAGUCAGUGGUGAAAUCUUGCAGCUCAACUGUAAAAUUGCCAUUGAUACCUGGAAUCCUUGAGUGUGGUUGAAGUAGACGGGAAUAUGUCAUGUAGCGGUGAAAUGCAUAGAUAUGACAUAGAACACCAAUUGCGUAGGCAGUUUACUAAACCAUUACUGACGCUCAUGGACGAAAGUGUGGGGAGCGAACAGGAUUAGAUACCCUGGUAGUCCACACCGUAAACUAUGAUCACUAGAUGUUGGCGAUAUACAGUCAGUGUCUUAGAGAAAUCGUUAAGUGAUCCACCUGGGGAGUACGUUCGCAAGAAUGAAAUUCAAAGGAAUUGACGGGGGCCCGCACAAGCGGUGGAGCAUGUGGUUUAAUUCGAUGAUACGCGAGGAACCUUACCAAGGCUUAAAUGUAAAACGACAGACUGGGAAACCAGUCCUUCUUCGGACAAUUUACAAGGUGCUGCAUGGUUGUCGUCAGCUCGUGCUGUGAGGUGUCGGGUUAAGUCCCAUAACGAGCGCAACCCCUAUCCUUAGUUGCCAGCGAGUAAUGUCGGGGACUCUAAGGAAACUGCCGGUGCAAACCGUGAGGAAGGUGGGGAUGACGUCAAAUCAUCACGGCCCUUACGUCCAGGGCUACACACGUGCUACAAUGGUAUAUACAAAGGGCAGCUACUUGGUGACAAGGUGCUAAUCUCGAAAGUCCGUCUCAGUUCGGAUCGAAGUCUGCAACUCGACUUCGUGAAGCUGGAAUCGCUAGUAAUCGCGUAUCAGCAAUGACGCGGUGAAUACUUCCCGGGCCUUGUACACACCGCCCGUCAAG
rnacentral:rRNA from 1 species